UAGACCAGAAGAGGCGCGUCACCCAGGCAGUAUGUCAGAGGAACCGUAUCCAUUGACGACAUACCAUGGGGAGUGACGCCGAGGCUGCAAACAUGCGGUGUGUUUGUCUGUCGACUACAGGGGCUGAAUCCUCUGGGUUGUCACUGUCGUAGCGUUUAUAAUGAACGUUUAUCAAGGUGGGGCGCUUCUGGCUGA
rnacentral:ncRNA from 1 species